UACGUAGGGGGCAAGCGUUGUCCGGAAUCAUUGGGCGUAAGCGCGUGUAGGCGGUCCGGUAAGUCCGCUGUGAAAGUCGGGGGCUCAACCCUCGGAUGCCGGUGGAUACUGUCGGGCUUGAGUACGGAAGAGGCGAGUGGAAUUCCUGGUGUAGCGGUGAAAUGCGCAGAUAUCAGGAGGAACACCAAUGCGAAGGCAGCUCGCUGGGACGUUACUGACGCUGAGACGCGAAAGCGUGGG
rnacentral:rRNA from 1 species